rnacentral:rRNA from 1 species
UACGAAGGGGGCUAGCGUUGCUCGGAAUCACUGGGCGUAAAGCGCACGUAGGCGGAUUGCUAAGUCAGGGGUGAAAUCCUGGAGCUCAACUCCAGAACUGCCUUUGAUACUGGUGAUCUUGAGUCCGGGAGAGGUGAGUGGAACUGCGAGUGUAGAGGUGAAAUUCGUAGAUAUUCGCAAGAACACCAAUUGCGAAGGCAGCUCACUACACAAAGAUUGACACUGAGGCACGAAAGCGUGGGGAUCAAACAGG